rnacentral:lncRNA from 1 species
GAAGACCCCAAAUGACAUAGAAGGUCUUGGAGAAGAGUCCAACAGAGACAUAUAUUCACAGACACGUGUACAUCUUUAUGCCCACACAGAAGGGUAAUAGCAGCCUUGCUUCAGAGGCCACACCUUCCAGGAAACCCUUCAGCCUGCCCUGUCUUAGCUGAUCCCUCUGCCAUCCCCUUGCAGAAGGAGCUUGGAGUCUCUCAGCUCAGCUGGACUAGAUGAAUCUUCUCAGGGUCAUCUUCUCCCACCUCUGGCUCCCAGUUCGUUCCCCCAAUCUCUCCCUCCCUGCUCUGUGAGAUCAGGGAAGCUGCAAAUCCAACCCUUACAUCAAAAGGGAACUUGAAAAAUACUUGGAGCAAAAACUGCUAACUGUGCAUCCUUGCUGUAUGCUGGUGCUGAUAUUAAAUCAGGAAAUGGCACUGAACAGCCGCUCCAAACACAGAAACAGGGGUUGUCAACACAGCAACCAAAAGCAAUCUCUAACGGGCAGAGGUGAAAGGGACCUGGCACAGGGCCGGGAGGGGGGCUGCAACCCAGGAAAGAAUUCCUGAGCUGAGUGUGUCUGUGCCACCUCUCCAGUGUCCAGAAUGAAGCCUGGAUCUCAGUCCCUGGUAUGGAACGCACCUUGUCUCCAUGAGGGAUGAAAGAUAAUUAAGCAUGUUGCUUAAAUACCUUUGAAAUUCUCCUUUUUAUUUCCAUACAUGUUUACCGAGCACCUACUAUGUGCCUGACGGUCCAAUAAAAAAGAUGCCUUCCCAUAUGGAGAUGACCUUCUAGCCCUCAGGACAGAACUCUGACCCUUUGACAUGGCAUUCAAGGUCCUUCGAGUGUUGGCUCCUGCAGAAGCCUUCAUCUCUGUUUCCAGCCUCCCUGAAAUAGCUCCCCAAGGGCACGAGGCAGUACCUUUGCUCCAUGCCUUUGCUUGGACUAGUCCUACCACCAGCUCUUCCUGCAUUUCUGUGUUUGGCAAAUUUCUGCUCAGCCUCCAAAGCCUUAACCAAGUGUCACCUUUUCUCUGCAGCAUUUUCUGCCACCCUCCCCAUUUCUUCCAAUAGAACCAGGGAUCAUUUACUUGGUAUCCAGCAGCACUGUGGACAUACUGCCAUCACAACACCUUUCAUGUCACAAUGGCAAGGUUUGCACCGUCCUGGAGGAGAGGAAAGAAGCCAUAUUCAUCCCUGAACCCUCAUCUCCCAGCACUGGUUGUAAAAUUGAAACAAAAAUGAAAACCCUUGAUGAAAUUCAUUGUUGGUGUGGCUAUGGGGAAACAGGUUUUCCAUUUCUGAUAGUAAAUGAAAUAGGUACCAUCUUGUUAGAGGCUAAUUUGACAUUAUUAACACUGAAAAUGCACACAUCUUUCAACCCAGCAAUUUUAUUUCUUGCUUUCUAGAGGAAUGUUUGCCCAUGUGCAGAAAGGCGCAUGUAAAAAGCUGAGUUGCAGCAUUGUUUGCAAUAGUAAAAGAUUUGAAAUUGCUUAAAUGUCCACCAAUAUGGCCUGGAUAAAAAACUAUAGGGCAUCCAUUGGAUAGAAUGCUAUGCAUUAGUUAAAAAGAAGUAGAUUUCCAUGUAUUGACCAAGCAUUUGCUGAGUAAAAAUCAAAAGCAAGCUGUAGCUCUAGACAUAGAUGUUAAAAUUACAUUGCUGCAUUUUUUCACGA